rnacentral:tRNA from 1 species
AGCCCUAAGUAGAAGUUAAAAUCUUCUAGUCUUUG